UGGGGAAUAUUGCACAAUGGGCGCAAGCCUGAUGCAGCCAUGCCGCGUGUGUGAAGAAGGCCUUCGGGUUGUAAAGCACUUUCAGCGAGGAGGAAGGUGGUGAGCUUAAUACGCUCAUCAAUUGACGUUACUCGCAGAAGAAGCACCGGCUAACUCCGUGCCAGCAGCCGCGGUAAUACGGAGGGUGCAAGCGUUAAUCGGAAUUACUGGGCGUAAAGCGCACGCAGGCGGUUUGUUAAGUCAGAUGUGAAAUCCCCGGGCUCAACCUGGGAACUGCAUUUGAAACUGGCAAGCUAGAGUCUCGUAGAGGGGGGUAGAAUUCCAGGUGUAGCGGUGAAAUGCGUAGAGAUCUGGAGGAAUACCGGUGGCGAAGGCGGCCCCCUGGACGAAGACUGACGCUCAGGUGCGAAAGCGUGGGGCAGCAAACACGGAUUAGAUACCCUGGUAGUCCAGCGCUGUAAAACGAUGUCGAUUUUGGAGGUUGUGCCCUUGAGGCGUGGCUUCCGGAGCUAACGCGUUAAAGUCG
rnacentral:rRNA from 1 species